rnacentral:lncRNA from 1 species
CUUAUUAGUAUGGAUCAGACUAGUAUUCAAAUAUGAUCCAUCGAACAGGUAUUGAGUAUGGUUCGAAAAAAAAUGAAAUACUCGAAUCCUAAUCUGAGUGAAUAUUGGUAUACUCGAAUUCGACUCGUGUAUCAUUAAACAUAAAAUAAGUAUGGAUCAUAUCCGACUCGAAUCAAAGAUUCGAAUUUGAGUUUUAAAUCAUAUUUUCGAAUCAAUCUCGAGUCGAGUAUCGAGCUACCUUGCUCGACUAACACCCCUAUGUUUAAUAUUGUAGUACUCGUAUAAAUCUUUUAUCUCAGCUCUCCCUUCAUUUCCCCUUCAUUUUCUCCAUGCAUGUUAAUACUCCACGACACACGUAUUAAUUAUUAC